GUCCACGCCGUAAACGAUGGGCACUAGGUGCUUGGGGGAGCGACCCCCUGAGUGCCGCCGCUAACGCAUUAAGUGCCCCGCCUGGGGAGUACGGCCGCAAGGCUGAAACUCAAAGGAAUUGACGGGGGCCCCGCACAAGCGGUGGAGCAUGUGGUUUAAUUCGACGCAACGCGAAGAACCUUACCUAGGCUUGACAUACACGGGAAACUUGCCAGAAACGGCAGGCCCUCUUCGGAGCCCGUGCACAGGUGCUGCAUGGCUGUCGU
rnacentral:rRNA from 1 species